rnacentral:rRNA from 1 species
GCAGUCGAACGAGAAAGCACUUCGGUGUGAGUACAGUGGCGGACGGGUGAGUAACGCGUAGGAAUCUACCUAGUAGUGGGGGACAACCCGGGGAAACUCGGGCUAAUACCGCAUACGAUCUCGGCGUCUACGGACAAAGAGAUGAAAGUGGGGGAUCUUCGGACCUCACGCUAUUAGAGGAGCCUGCGUUGGAUUAGCUAGUUGGUGAGGUAAUAGCUCACCAAGGCUACGAUCUAUAGCUGGUCUGAGAGGACGAUCAGCCACACUGGAACUGAGACACGGUCCAGACUUCUACGGAAGGCAGCAGUAGGGAAUCUUGGUCAAUGGGCGAAAGCCUGAACCAGCCAUGCCGCGUGUACGAAGAAGGCCCUAGGGUUGUAAAGCACUUUCAGUCGUGAAGAAACUCCCAAGGUUAAUACCCUUGGGCAUUGACGUUAACGACAGAAGAAGCACCGGCUAACUCCGUGCCAGCAGCCGCGGUAAUACGGAGGGUGCGAACGUUAAUCGGAAUUACUGGGCGUAAAGCGCGCGUAGGCGGUUUGCUAAGUGGGAUGUGAAAGCCCCGGGCUUAACCCGGGAACUGCAUUCCAAACUGGCAAACUAGAGUAUGGUAGAGGGAGGUAGAAUUUCCUGUGUAGCGGUGAAAUGCGUAGAUAUAGGAAGGAAUACCGAUGGCGAAGGCAGCCUCCUGGACCAAUACUGACGCUGAGGUGCGAAAGCGUGGGGAGCAAACAGGAUUAGAUACCCUGGUA